AGUGAACGCUGAGCGUUCUCGCGUCCUUAAUUUUCUAUGGUCAAGCUACUAAGGGCGUACGGUGGAUGCCUUGGCGCUGGGAGGCGAUGAAGGGCGUCGUAAGCUGCGAUAAGCCCCGGUGAGCUGCUGCGAGCUUCGACCCGGGGAUGCCCGAAUGGGGAAACCCGGCGGGAGUUAUGUCCCGUCAUCCUCCCCCGAAUUCAUAGGGGGACGGAAGCGAACGGGGGGAAUUGAACCAUCUCAGUACCCCCAGGAAGAGAAAGCAAAUGCGAUUCCCCUAGUAGCGGCGAGCGAACGGGGAUCAGCCUAAACCGGCCGUGCGUCAAGCGUGCGGGCGUUGCUCGGCCGGUGUCGUGGGAUCGAUUCGGACUCCCCCGCUCGGGAGUCGGAGAGUUACAAACCAGACCGUUAGUUGAGUGAUCUGGAAAGUUCAGCCACAGAGGGUAAUAGCCCCGUAGGCGAAAACGGAUCUGGCUCUCUGGGAUCGCGUCCCAAGUACCACGGGACACGUGGAACCCUGUGGGAAUCUGCGAGGACCAUCUCGCAAGGCUAAACACUACCCAGCGACCGAUAGUGAACAAGUACCGUGAGGGAAAGGUGAAAAGAACCCCUGUUAGGGGAGUGAAAUAGUACCUGAAACCGUACGUCUACAAGCAGUUGAAGGGCUAUGCCCGCAAGGGAAUGCCCGACAGCGUGCCUUUUGCAUAAUGAGCCGGCUAGUUA
rnacentral:rRNA from 1 species